UUCUCAAUGGUAGUGCUAAACCACUACGGAUGCAAUAUACUUUCGGCCGCUAGCGCUCUCGUGGCGCUCUUCCGUGUUUCGGCACCGCGGGAAGUUUGAAUUCGCAGAAGAAGACGACUGUUUAAUUCAACGCAUUCUCAGCGCAUCUGUCAAAGAGACCACUGUUUCUACACUGCUGUCAUCUUCUCCUGGUACCCAUGCAGAUCCUCAGUCAGAUGCAGGAAGUACAUAUACACCACCUCUGCCUCUGCUGGCCUCACCUGAGACCCCCUGGUCCUGUGAAGACUGGUGGCAGGGUGUAUGUACUGGAGCACAAACACAGAGCCAAUUGACAACUUGCUUAAACACUGUGGGAAGAAGCACAUCCUCAGGAGCAUGCAGCAGUGCUCCACAAUUCCUCUACUGAUCCAAACAGCAUGCUCCAUUCGACCACAAAACUGCACAUUUCACAGUAUGUCAAGCACCUGGCCAAACUGCAGAACACCAGUUCUUCAUUAAACAACUCCAGAGAAACGUCUUGAAAGCGGGCAGUAAAACAACCAGUGUGCCAGUGGUUAUAAUGAAGCCUGCGGAUGUAAAACCACCAGCACCUGCUCUGACCACACUCCUAACUCAUGAGACCAUUGAGACAAUUGUGUUAUGGAGCGGCAGCAGCAACCUGAGCAGGAGAAGACUUGUCUUGCUUGUGGACAGCCAAAGAUGGUUCCUCUAUCCACUUUUUCCUUAAUCAGCAAGAUCCUGUCAGGUACUUCUACUGUUCCACAAAGGUUUUUAAUGCUUACAGUGAUUAAGAACUAACACACCCCAGAGUUAUUUAAGAGUGAACUUGAGGACACAAAGAAACGGGUGCAGGAGAAAGGACAGCAAAAACACAAAAGGCC